rnacentral:rRNA from 1 species
UACGAAGGGGGAUAGCGUUGCUCGGAAUCACUGGGCGUAAAGGGUGCGUAGGCGGGUUUUUAAGUCAGAGGUGAAAUCCUGGAGCUCAACUCCAGAACUGCCUUUGAUACUGAGAAUCUUGAGUACGGGAGAGGUGAGUGGAACUGCGAGUGUAGAGGUGAAAUUCGUAGAUAUUCGCAAGAACACCAGUGGCGAAGGCGGCUCACUGGCCCGUAACUGACGCUGAGGCACGAAAGCGUGGGGAGCAAACAGG